UUGAUUGUUUGCACGCAACUAUACACUCGUGCUCGUAUCAUGAACUGGUCAUUCAUUCUGAUCAUGUUUUUAUCAAAUCUGUAAGCAGAAGAAAAAUGCUUUGGUCAUACAUUUUGAGGGAAGUUCCUGUUAGAAAAUUGGAUCUACUUUGUACUUUGGUUAAUACACUAUUGAAUAACACAAGUUUUGUUCAAUAUGUGACUUACCAGAUGCCGUUAACUACUCAUAUUUGAAAUGGUGAAGUACUACAAGUACCAAGAAGUUUUGACCGUAUCAUUUUUUCUUCUAAAGUUGAUCUUUGUAUCAACAAUUGUGUAUCACUAUGAUAAUUAUGACACGAAAACAAGUUUAUGUUUUUGUAAAAAUUCUAAAACUGAUUUUUUGGUUUGUACAGUCCAAUAAUAAAUAAUUCUU